GUAUUAUUAGUACUGGCUAUAUUUAUAAUUGUUAUACUGGCCCUAGCUUUGUACAUAAAAAGAACUAACAUUAAUCAAAAAAGAAAAUCAGAUAAUGACAUUGUAAUGGAAUGCAGUCCAGCUUAUGCUACAACUGAAUUUAAAACAAAUACUGCUGAUGAUAUACUAAUGAAGGAUAGUCCAGCAUAC